GAACUUCCAUGAAAAGCUGGGAAAAAGAACUUGAUCCUACAGUUCAACAGAUUCAGCCAAUACUUGCCAUGCCUUGAGAUGGCAUUUCCACUGGAAUGCUGAAGGCACCUCAAGCUGCUCCUGGUGAAGUGUUUGUGAGUCAGCCAGGGGAACCCAGCACAUUUCCCAGGGGAAAAGGCUCAGGAGAAAGACGGGCCAACCACUAAUGAGGCAUUCCCAGGAAACACAGAAGGGAGGGAGAUCAAAGUGGAGCAGCUGGAAACCAAGGGCCAGAUUUUUAACACAGUUCGGAAACAGAUGAGCGUUUAACCUCCUGAGACCAAACAUAUGUUACCGUGAAGUAGCAAACUUGCAUGUUUGUUGCCCAUUUCAUGGCUGGAAGCUGAAGAUGUUUUGGCGUCACCAGUUAAAGUUUGAUAAAGCUUCCUGAGCUCAGCAUGUCCCACUGUUGUUCGGGAGAGAUACCGGCUCAGCUGGCUGCUUUUCCAGGCAGCACUGCUCUCCCCAGGCCUCCCCCUGCAGACACCAACUUCUGUGUGAUAAGGAGAAGUUUUUAGCUCUGAACACUCAUCAAAAACACCACUCCUCCGGACUCAGUGAAGCAGAAAAACCAAAAGUUAGUCUUCAGUGGUUGGGGAAAAUCCUGAAAGUUGGCGGAGGUGGUCUCCGGAUGAUCCAGCCCAGUUUUUCCAGGACAAGGGAGCAAAGAGCUGGCAAGUGCAGAUUCCAGUUGCUCCUGGAGUCACAAAGAAGGGAAGAGGAAGCACCGUGAUGAGGGGAUAUAAACCCACGUGCAGGGACAUGAAGCAGAGGACACGCUUGGAAUGUGACCAUUGACAACCUCUCAGCUACACAAGGAGUUCAAGGAGUGCAUCACAGUUUGCCAGUGGCUCCCAUGUACCUCUUGCUGCUCUCAUGUCUGAAUGUCACCUUCCCAACUCUUCUGUGUGGUCUGAGCACAGGAGCCGUACUUUGGGAUGAAUCCAGCAUCAGAAAGGUGCUCCACAAGGACAAUUCCUGUGCUCCAGCCAGACCAGACUGGAAAACCCAACCAGGUGUGCAAUAGGGAUGUGGGGCCCCCAUGACCAGCUGGAGAUCUGCUCCCAUUUGGCUUUCCCAUUACUUUCCAAUGUAGAUGGAACCAUGUGACACCCAGAGUC